GUCCUCAACACACCGAGACUUACAUCGUCGGCGAUUUUGGUUCUAGGGUUUGGGGUUUCUACUUUUUCUUUAACCACCGGCCAUGACACACAACUCCUGUUAAAAAUUUCCAUCGAUGAACAACAGAAGCGGCUGUGAUAAUUUAAGGUAAUUGUUUAAUUACAAUUCCCUUAUUCUUUAUAUUCAAGCUUUAAUUUCUCUGUAAUGCAUUACUUUUUCUAUACCAAGAAAUCUGAGAAUUAGGUUUACAAUUUUCAUGAUUAUUUUGUUUAUUGGAAUGUUAUGAAGUUAUAGAUUGGAAAAAAUAUUUUGGAGCCCUUAACUCCUUAAGCAUUGACGUAUUGAAGAAGUAUUGAAGGGUGUAAUUUAGUGCUUAAGUUUGAUUAACUAGAAAAAAUAGAUCUGAUUCCUGGAAUUCUUCAAUUAUUUAUAUCUAAGAGAUAUGUUAGCAUUAUUUCUCUUUCUUAGUUGUUCUUAUUGUUUCUUUUCAGAUUUUUGCUCUGAAUUGUUAUUUCCGUAUGUUAAUACUUGCCAAGUCAUUUGCAUUGAAGAAUGAGGUGCAAGGAAUGUAUGGGUGAGAAAUUGGUACUUUUUAAUUUUCCAUCAUUUAUUAUUUGAGAUUACAUUCCAGUAGACUUCUCUCACUGUUGGUUAAACUUUGUUGACUCCUCUCACUAGACUAGAUGGUUCUAUUUACAGAACGAGCAAAAGUUAUGCCUUUUUGGUUUUGCUUUAGUGUUUUGAUAUGUCUUUUGUCAUAGAAAAUGCCAAAUCUAUAUCAAGUUGCUUCUAUUUAUUUGCCUAGCUUGUGUUGACCAAUGUUUUAUUUCUGGGCAAGAAUGAACAUCACCUUUUGCCAUAAGAAAUAUUUGUCUAUGUUUAUGCCUGUGGUUUUUUAUAGGUGAUUGUAUGUAUCUUUUUUUUUUCAUAAGAACGCAUGGAGAUCUGGUAAUAUUGAAGAUCAUACUACAAACUUAUAAACAAUCUCUUGAUAAGAAUGAUGAGUAUUUUGUUCGUGACAACAAAUAAUAUUGGAUAUAGUCGAUGAUGAAGAUUUAAACCUAAGGUACGUGUUAUUUCAGCGAUAAGCAUCCAUCAUAUUAAUGAAUAUAAGGCCUCGUUAAAUGACAGCAAAUUCUAUUUAUGUUUGAGACCAUUUUGGCAUACCAAAUGGUAAUUUAUUAUUAUGUUACGAUAUGUUAAUCAAGUUGAAAUUGUUUCUCUUAUUGAGUUUUAUAAGAAUAUAACGGCGGUGGGGCUCUCCAAGUUCAAUCCCUUUCAUCAUUUGUAUAUAUAAGUAUAACCACUGGAUUUUGAUGCAUUCUUCAACAAGGUGAGAUCAUAGCAUUUGUAUAUAUUUUUCUCGUCUGUUUUGAAGCUCAGUCUAACUUCUUUUGCACAAAUAGUAGUUAGUUAAAGGAAACGUUAAUUGCUUGGUAUAAAUUAAACCCACUGAUGCUAUUUGAUUUUAAUUCGAGUUUGGUUCUGCUUUAUAUGAUUGAUAUUUUGUUUUAUUUUAACUUAAUCAAUAAUCUAUUACUGUCUUUGAACCGCCUCACUGAAUUUGAAUGAGUUGAAGGUCAAAUUGUUGGUUAGUCAAUAUGUAUCCAUUGAAAUGUCUGACGAGAUGAUAUUAAUAUUGUUUGGUUUAGUGUUCUCAGAAUUGAGCGUUUUAAUUUCUUAUUUCCCUAACUUUCUCUAUAUAACUAAAUUCAGCUCAAAAUGCUUCAAGUACCACAAUUACUUGGGGAGCAGUUUGUUGAUGGAUUACGGAAGGAUGUUUGACCGCGUCAACUUCUAGAUGGUGAUAUUAUUAACAGUUUGAUGGAUAGAGAGUAUUUGAUACUCUGGUCAGACCUGCAGGAAAUAUUUUCUUUGAGUCGAGUUAGUACAUUAUUAAGUUUAUGUACUCCAUUUUAAUUAGGUAAAUCUUAAGGAUUUGGAUUUAAUAUGUAUGAAUGGUGGUGGAUGAUUUAUUGUAAUGAUGGAUUGUACGGGAACCUUUAUUGUAAUUUCAGUCAAUUGUAAUAUAUGGAU
rnacentral:lncRNA from 1 species